rnacentral:RNase_P_RNA from 4 species
UAAGAAAUCGACUCUAUGGCCCUGUCAAACGACAGGGAGGAAAGUCCAGGCAUCGCAGUAGAGCGCAGUUGUUGUAAAACAACCGGACGUAAGUCUAGGGAAAGUGCAACAGAAAUAUACCGCUUCACCGCGUGUAGCGCAGUGAGUUAAUAAAGCUAAAAGUCCGUAAAGUCAAUAAAGUAAUUCAAUAAAAUACUUUACAGACUUUAUACUUUACAAACUUUAUAAACUUGCCGCGCUAUGCGUGGCGGGGUAAGGGUGAAAUCGCGAGGUAAGAGCUCACGGUCGUGCAUAGUAAUAUGCACGAUAGGUAAACCCUGCGUGGUGCAAGUUGGGUGGGUCCGACCAUCAUCAACGCCGACUACUCGGUAGAUGACCACGGAUCCCAACGCGCUCCGUCGUAACAAUCGGAGCUCCGUCAUUGCUCUGCAAUCGUCGGAGAAGAUAGAUCAUAGGGUAAAACAGAACCUGGCUUAUCGGCUUCUUAAGGU